GCUAAAAGUGAGAAAAACACUCCGUGAUCGUGGACGAUGGCUGAAUCCACCACUUGCUCGUAAAAAUAGACACUGUCAUCUUGGGAACUACAUAAAGCCUCUGCCAAGUGUUGCUGUGGAUUCGUUUCUGAGAGGAAGAGCAUGAUGGGGGCAAAAGGUGCAUAGUCACCACACAGACCCUGGGAGUCGGAUGAAAGCAGGCCUGAGCAUUCUUCUCUGAAGGGUACAGACCUUGCCAGAGAAUUGAACCUGUGGCCUCUGUUGCCUGGGCUAGAGCUGCCCAUGAGGAAUGAAGAGCCUGAAUGACACCGAGGCUUUAUUGGACUCCAGUCUCCUCCUGAAGGGCCUUGGGCCUAUAUGCCGCCUCUUCUGAACAAGUGGGCAAAGAACGGGUGAUCCUUAAAAAGUUCAUAGAGAAGCAAGCCCUUGGCUUAUCAUUGAAGACGUGGUUUGAGAAGCUCACACCCCGUAUCAGACGGCUUGGGGCUGAAUCCUGACUCCACUUCCUGAUCCCAGCUGCCUGCUAACCCGCACCCUGGGAAGCAGCAGGUACUGGUUCCCACCCACUUGGGAGGUGUGGACUGAGUUCCCGCUCCCAGCUUCAACCUGGCCCAGCCCUGGCCACUGCAGGCAUUUGGAGAAUAAAUCAGUCGGUAGGAACACUGGCACACACCAUCUCUUUCUACUUCUUAAAUAAUUUUCUUAAAUUUCACAUAUAACAUGUAUCAUGAAAAACUGCAUGAUAUCAUAGUUACAUCCAAAUAAACAUUUAA